AUGCCGUGGCUCACUUGGUUAACCCUCCGCUUGCGGGGCCAGCAUCCCAUAAGGGCACCGGGUUCUGUCCCGGUUGCCCCUAAUCCAGUCCAGCUCUCUGCUGUGGCCCGGGAGUGCAGUGGAGGAUGGCCCAAGUGCUUGGGCCCUGCACCCACAUUGGAGACCUGGAGGGAGCACCUGGCUCCUGGCUUCGGAUCAGCACAGCGUGCCAGCUGCAGUGGCCAUUUGGGGAGUGAACCAACGGAAGGAAGACCUUUCUCUCUCUAUCUCUCUCUCACUGUCUGUAACUCUACCUGUAAAAAAAAGAGAGAGAACAAAUGCACAAAUGAUUGUUCUUCGAAUAGAGCCAGAGUCUCCCGGGCAGAGACCCUGCAUUAUGAUGUCACCAGGCUGCACUGUAGCAUAAAGACCCUGGCCUCACUUACUCACUCAACAAACACUGAAUGCCCGCCCCUGGCCUCACGCUGCACUAGCAUUCCAAGAAGAGGCUGGGAUGUGAAGCCGCAAGGCCAAGGCUGUCCACCCACCCACCUGGGACCUAGAAAACUUCACAGGUGGCAGGUCAGGUUCAAGGUGACGCUUCCGCAGACCCGACGUCCAGACCCAGAAACGCACGGGAGAAUCAGUGUGCUGGCCCUGUGGCUCCCUCCGUCUCCAGGAGCUGCCCCCAGCCCUGGGCGCACAGGGACUGGCGUUGGCAUGGGAGGGACGGGGUACAGGUCACAGCUCUGCCAGUUUCCUGGCACAGCUCCUUACCCGUCCUCGGUAAGCACUGGUGACAAUGGUGUCUACCAGGUAAGGUCUCGGGCGGACCGGUGCCGUAAGACCCACAAAGGGCCCACUUAACACAGACAGGGACACACACGGUUGUCACUCUGCCCGUCUGUGGGCUGUGUUCAGACUCCAGUAAGAAAGGACAUGUGGGUGGUGCCAGGUCUGCUCUGUUUCCUGCCUGGGGCAUUUGCCCUUGCGGGAGCCCUGGAGAGGGGACCAGGAAGGGAUACAGAGAACAGAAGCCUUCGUGGAGGUGCACAGAGCUCACAGUUGUCACCAGGAUGGCGCUGUCUUCCCAGGGGCUGGCGGGGCGGCCGUGGACUCCGCACGUUCCUUUCUGCUUUUUUUUUUUUUUCUUUCCACAGCUGAAUGGCUGCUCUCUCUGUGCUUCUCUGCCGGCCUCGCCUUGGUAAGUUGGGGAAAAGGAGUUGUUCUCUCCUUGUGCUGCAAACGUGCGGGUGGGGAUGAGGGAGAUGAUGGAGAGCCUUCUUCACUCAGCAGAUUCUGAAUGAGUAGAAGCUGGGGUUUGAAUGCGGCCCCCAGAAGCUCCCGUGUUGGGAACGUGAUCCCCAAAUUCCUCUACCAGUAAUAUCUGGAGGUGAGACCUUCGCAAGUAAGAGCAUCAGUGGCUUCAUGAGAAGAGAAGAGACCCGAGCUGCAGGCGCUGCGCUGACUGCCCGGGGGGUGCCCUCCCACGUGUGAUGGUGCAGCAAGGCCCUCGCCCACCACCUGCCCCUGGGCUUCCCCGCCUCCCGACCCGUGAGCCAAUCAACUUCUGUUCUUUACAAAUUACCUGCUCUCAGGUAUGUUUUUAAAAGACGUAUGUAUGCAUUUGAAAGGCAGAGAGACAGAGAGGGAGAGACAGAAAGAGAGACCUCCCAUCCGCCGGUUCACUCCCCAGAUGCCAGCAACAGCCAGGCCAGGAGCCAGGAAUUCCAUCUGAGUCUCCCACGUGGGCACAGGGGCCUAAGCACUUGGGCCAACAUUUGCUGCUUUCCCAGGCACAUUAGCAGGGAGCUGGGUUGGAAGCGAAGCAGCUGGGAGUCAAGCCAGUGCUCCAACAUGGGAUGCG
ensembl:lncRNA